rnacentral:rRNA from 1 species
UACGAAGGGGGCUAGCGUUGCUCGGAAUUACUGGGCGUAAAGGGCGCGUAGGCGGACAGUUUAGUCAGAGGUGAAAGCCCAGGGCUCAACCCUGGAAUUGCCUUUGAUACUGACUGUCUUGAGUACGGGAGAGGUGUGUGGAACUCCGAGUGUAGAGGUGAAAUUCGUAGAUAUUCGGAAGAACACCAGUGGCGAAAGGCGAC